rnacentral:rRNA from 1 species
AGCGAACGCUGGCGGCAUGCCUAACACAUGCAAGUCGCACGGGUCGGCUUCGGCCGGUCAGUGGCGGACGGGUGCGGACCGCGUAGGGAUCUGUCCUCUGGUGGGGGAUAACCGCGGGAAACUGCGGCUAAGACCGCAUGGGGCGCCGGUGUGAGAGCCGGUGUCAAAGGCGCGCAUCGCGAGGUGCGGGUGGGCGGGGGGUGCGCCUGCGUCCGAUUAGCUGGUGGGCGGGGUUGUGGCCCACCUACGCGUCGAUCGGUAGCUGGUCUGAGAGGGUGAUCAGCCACACUGGGACUGAGACACGGCCCAGACUCCGACGGGAGGGAGCAGUGGGGAAUAUUAGACAAUGGGCGCAAGCCUGAUAAAGCAAUGCCGGGUGGGUGGAGAAGGUCUUCGGAUUGUAAAGCCCUUUGGGCGGGGACGAUGGUGACGGUACCCGCAGAAGAAGCCCCGGCUAACUUCGUG